UACGGGGGGGGUAAGCGUUGUUCGGAAUUACUGGGCGUAAAGGGCGCGUAGGCGGCUUUUCAAGUCGGGCGUGAAAUCUCCGGGCUUAACCCGGAAGGGUCGUUCGAUACUGUUGAGCUAGAGUGUGGAAGAGGCAACUAGAAUUCCGUGUGUAGCGGUGAAAUGCGUAGAUAUACGGAGGAAUACCUGAGGCGAAGGCGGGUUGCUGGGCCAACACUGACGCUGAGGCGCGAAAGCCAGGGGAGCAAACGGG
rnacentral:rRNA from 1 species